rnacentral:rRNA from 1 species
AGGCAAGACAGAAGGCGCGGUCGGGGAAUGCCUCGGCAGGUCGAGCCGAUGAAGGACGCCGGUCAGCAGCGAUAGGGUCGGGGAGGGGCUGCCACCCACAGAUCCGACCAUUUCCGAAUGGGGCAACCCGCCUAGCGUGAUGGCUGGGCACCGCCAAGCUGGCGGAGGGAACCGCGGAAACUGAAACAUCUCAGUACCGCGAGGAGAUACAACACCGCCCGGAGUAGUGGCGAGCGAAACGGGCUGCUGCCUAAACCAGCGCCGUGCCAAGCAUGGCCGCCUUGCGGCGCUGGGGUUGUGCGACGUGCCGCCCGGGGGCCAUCCCGGGCACUGCGACGUCAGGGUGUGGGGGAAGCGGUUGGAACACCGCCCCACAGCGGGUGAGAGGCCCGUACGCUGCCCUACCACGGUGCAGAGCACUGUUCGCGAGUACCACCGGACACGUGAAAUCCGGUGGGAAGCUGGGCCGCCCACGGUCCAAGGCAAGCUACUCGUCCUGACCGAUAGCGCACAGUACCGUGAGGGAACGGUGAAAAGUACCCCGGCGAGGGGAGUGAAACAGAGCCUGAAACCGACCGCGUCCAUGCAGUGAGAGCGCCGGACGGACGGUUACGUCCGUGGCGUGAUCGCGUGCCUUUUGGAGUAUGACCCGACGAGUUGCUCUGUGUCGCCGCCUAAGGCACGCAAUCAGCCGGAGGCAGAGCGAAAGCGAGUGUGAACAGCGCGUGAGGUGGCAUGGAGCAGACCUGAAACCGUGUGAGCUACCCAUGGCCAGGCUGCAGCGCCCGUAACAGGGCGUGAAGGGCCGCACCGGUGUCUGUUGCAAAAGGCUCGGAUGAGCUGUGGGUAGGGGUGAAAUGCCAAUCGAACACGGAGAUAGCUGGUUCUCCCCGAAAUGCAUUGAGGUGCAGCCGGACGGAAGACGAUCGCGGGGGUAGAGCGCUGUUGCGACGCGGGGGUGUCACAGCCUACCAACUCGCGGCAAACUGCGAAUACCGCGACCGGCGCGUCCGAGUGAGACGGCGGGUGCGAACAUUCGUCGUCAAGAGGGCAACAACCCAGACCCACCGCUAAGGUCCCCCAGUUGGUGUUGCGUGGUAAAGGAAGUCGCGCUGCCCAGACAACCAGGAGGUUGGCUUAGAAGCAGCCAUCCUUGAAAGAGUGCGUAAUAGCUCACUGGUCGAGGAGCACGGCGCCGACAAUGUAACGGGGCGAAACACCACACCGAAGCGUGGGAUUGGCAGCUGUGGCUGCCAGUGGUAGGGGAGCGUCGGCUCCGCAGUGAAGCAUCAGCGUAAGCCGGUGCGGAGCGGGGUCGAGUGCGAAUGUCGGGAUGAGUAACGUGAUGUGGGGUGCGAACCCCCACCGCCGUAUGCCCGAGGGUUCCACUGCACGGACACUCCGCAGUGGGUGAGUCGGGCCUAAGCCGAGGCCGACAGGCGUAGGCGAUGGACAGCCGGUGGAGAUUCCGGCACCAGGUCGUAGUGAUGAAGGCCGGUGGUCCUGGGCGGGAUGCUGCGCGGUCAGACGAGGACCGUUCAAGCUGGUAGGCCGUGAGGCUGAGAGGCGAGUACGAGUGGGCCCCCACGGGGGUACCGCAAGGCGGCAAGACCUGAACAGGCACGAAACACACCGGCGGGAGCUAUGACCUGCCCGUACCGCAAACCGACACAGGUGGGCUGGUCGAGGAGACCAAGGCGGACGAGCGAACCCUGGUUAAGGAACUCGGCAAAAUGAUCCCGUACCUUCGGAAGAAGGGAUGCUCCACGGCGUGUAGCUUCGAGCGAGCGAAGCGCCGCGGAGCCGCAGAGAACAGGCCCAUGCGACUGGUUACCAGAACCCUAGGUCCCUGCGAAGCCGUAAGGCGCCGUAUAGGGGCUGAUGCCUGCCCAGUGCUGGAAGGUUAAGGGGAGGGGUGCAAGCCCUGAACCGAAGCCCCAGUCAACGGCGGCCGUAACUAUAACGGUCCUAAGGUAGCGAAAUUCCUUGUCGGGUAAGUUCCGACCCGCACGAAAGGCAUAACGACAUGGGCACUGUCUCGACCAGGGGCUCGGUGAAAUUGAAGUGCCGGUGAAGAUGCCGGCAACCCACACCAGGACAAAAAGACCCCGUGGAGCUUGACUCUAGCUUGUCACUGUGUAUGUGCUGGCGCUGCGUAGGAUAGGUGGGAGCCACAGAACCGUCCCUUGCGGGGGGCGGGGAGGCAACGGUGAAAUACCACUCUGCGGCAGUGCGUCCACUCACCGGCGCUGUGCAAGCGCUGGGACCGUGGCUGGUGGGGAGUUUGACUGGGGCGGUCGCCUCCUAAAGCGUACCGGAGGCGCCCAACGGUUCCCUCAGGGUGGAUGGCAACCACCCAGGGCGUGCAACGGCACAAGGGAGCUUGACUGCAAGGGAAACCGCCCGCGCAGGUGCGAAAGCAGGGCGUAGUGAUCCUACGGUGGCGAGUGGAAGCGCCGUAGCGUACCGGAUAAAAGCUACCCCGGGGAUAACAGGCUGAUCCGGCCCAAGAGUUCAAAUCGACGGCCGGGUUUGGCACCUCGAUGUCGGCUCGUCGCAUCCUGGGGCUGGAGUCGGUCCCAAGGGUUGGGCUGUUCGCCCAUGAAAGCGGCACGCGAGCUGGGUUCAGAACGUCGUGAGACAGUUCGGUCUCUAUCCGGUGUGGGCGCGUAGGUGAUUGCGUGGGGCUGGCCCUAGUACGAGAGGACCGGGCUGGACGACCCGCUGGUGGAGCAGGUGUGGGGCGACCCGCAGCCUGCGUAGCUACGGUCGGAAGGGCGAAGCGCUGAAAGCAUCUAAGUGCGAACCCCGCCACAAGACGAGUCACCUCACCGCCACGGGCGGGUAAGGGCGCGGGGAGACGACCCGUUUGGCAGACGCGCGGUGGACGCGCCGUGAGGCGUGCAGCCGACGCGGCCUGAUGCCCGAGGGCUUGCCUGG